rnacentral:rRNA from 1 species
GACAGAGGUCCCGAGCGUUAGGCGGAAUCACUGGGCUUAAAGCGUGUGUAGGCGGAUUGGUAAGUACCUUGUGAAAUCCCACGGCUUAACCGUGGAACUGCUUGGUAUACUGCUUAUCUUGGGCCACUUAGGGGCUACCGGAACAAACGGUGGAGCGGUGAAAUGCGUAGAGAUCGGGAAGAACAUCGGUGGCGAAAGCGCUCUGCUGGACUGCAACUGACACUCAGGGACGAAAGCGUAGGGAGCGAAUGGG